GGGCCCGCACAAGCGGUGGAGUAUGUGGUUUAAUUCGAUGCAACGCGAAGAACCUUACCAGGGUUUGACAUCCUGCGAAUCUCUUGGAAACAGGAGAGUGCCUUCGGGAACGCAGUGACAGGUGGUGCAUGGCUGUCGUCAGCUCGUGUCGUGAGAUGUUGGGUUAAGUCCCGCAACGAGCGCAACCCACGUCUUUAGUUGCCAGCAUUUAGUUGGGCACUCUAGAGAGACUGCCGGUGAUAAACCGGAGGAAGGUGUGGAUGACGUCAAGUCAUCAUGCCCCUUACAUCCUGGGCUACACACGUACUACAAUGCUACGGACAAAGGGCAGCAAACUCGCGAGAGCUAGCAAA
rnacentral:rRNA from 1 species